rnacentral:rRNA from 1 species
GAAGCGGCAAAAGCUCAAAUUUGAAAUCGGCCACCAGGUCGAGUUNUAAUUUGUAGAUUGUAUCUUGAGAGCGGAUUAAAGUCUGUUGGAACACAGCGCCUUAGAGGGUGACAGCCCCGUAAAAUCUAUUCUCAUUGUAAGAUACUUUCGAAGAGUCGAGUUGUUUGGGAAUGCAGCUCUAAGUGGGAGGUAAAUUCCUUCUAAAGCUAAAUAUUGACGAGAGACCGAUAGCGAACAAGUACUGUGAAGGAAAGAUGAAAAGCACUUUGAAAAGAGAGUGAAAAAGUACGUGAAAUUGUUAAAAGGGAAGGGUAUUGAAUCAGACUUGGUGCUGUUGUUCAACUGUGUUUCGGCAUAGUGUACUCAGCAGUACUAGGCCAAGGUGGGGUGUUUGGGAGUGAAAAAGAAGUWGGAACGUAACUCUUCGGAGUGUUAUAGCCUACUUUCAUAGCUCCUCAGGCGCCUCAGGACUGCGCUUCGGCAAGGACCUUGGCAUAA